GAUAUAAUAAUGAAUCAUUGUUAAUACGAACAGUUGUCGAGUAUGCGUAUACAUAUAAAACAUAUUGAAUUUUACCGCAAGUUAAUAUAUAUCGUUAUUAUAUACAAGUAGGAUUUAUGUGAACCUGCCAGCAUGAUUCGUAUCUAUGUUUAGCAGUUAUUUUCAUAUGGGAAUGGAAUAUUCGAAGAACGACAGAUGGCUGCUGUUGGUAACGUGUGUUCAAACAAGGAAGUAUAAGGACGUAACUUUUCAAUAGUCGUCUCCAAGACGUACACAGAUGGGAUUUACAUGAUCUCCUUUUAACGAUUAUAUCGUCCUUAAGUAUCUUAUUCAAGACAUCUCGAGAAAGCUCUCUUACCAGUCAUGACGAUGCGUGAUGCAAUUACACAGUCUGCUUCCUUCGAAAAGGAACGCCUGAUCGAGCGAUUGUCACUUCGGGGAAAACACGAAGUGAAUCCAUGAAGGAAUACAAAGAUAAAGAUUUGUUGACGUAUAGAAACAACGGGAAGGGACAUUAAUAUUAAUCCUUUCUAUUGGAAUGACGCCUUCAAGAUGUAUAUGAGAGAUUUAAGAAAGAAAAACAUUUCUAUAGAUUCUUUCUCUUGAAAAAUAUGAAAGUUAAUUUGGUAAAAGUUUAUUACCUGGUUUAUUAUACUGAUAUAUAUCUCAUUGAUUAAAUAAUAAUGUGAGUUAUCUAAUUAUAAAACGUGUGAUUUUAUAUAUAGAAAUGAUAAUAGAUAACCAUUAGAAUCGAUUGAAACAAAGUCGAUACUUAUGAUAAACUAAUUUCACUUACGACCUGAUUCCUUUGUAAUUGAAUUUAUAUAUAUACAUAUAAAUAUAUAUACAUAUAAAUAUAUAUAUAUAUAUAUAUAUAUAUAUAUAUAUAUAUAACUGUAAAUUAUGUAGGUAAUAUAUAUAACUGUAAUUCAGAAGUAUUUCGAACGCUGAGCACCGCUGCUGUUCGCUACAUUAGCCUAACGUUUUGAUUACAAUUUCAAUGUUAAGGUCACGAUGGUGAACUAUAAUCAUCGCUCGGCACAAUUUAUACUCAUCCAUUAUACGCAUGGCAACACGUGCAGGUACUUCGUUGAAACGGGAAAGGCAUAAAGCAAAGUUAUCGAUACCCUUCUAUCGAUAUUUCAUGUUGACUAUAAACGUCAUUUUUGUAUUAAAAA